UACGUAGGGGGCAAGCGUUGUCCGGAUUUAUUGGGCGUAAAGAGCGUGUAGGCGGCCGUACAGGUCAGCUGUGAAAACUCGAGGCUCAACCUCGAGACGUCGGUUGAAACCGUACGGCUAGAGUCCGGAAGAGGAGAGUGGAAUUCCACGUGUAGCAGUGAAAUGCGUAGAGAUGUGGAGGAACACCGAUGGCGAAGGCAGCCCCCUGGGCUAACACUGACGCUCAUGCACGAAAGCGUGGGGAGCAAACAGG
rnacentral:rRNA from 1 species